rnacentral:rRNA from 1 species
CAAUAGCGUAUAUUUAAGUUGUUGCAGUUAAAAAGCUCGUAGUCGGAUUUUGGCUGAGAACGAUCGGUCCGCCGUUAGGUGUGCACUGAUUGGUCUCAGCUUCCUGGUGAGGAGGUGUGCUUCACGGCCACUUAGUCACCGUGGUUACUUUGAAAAAAUUAGAGUGUUCAAAGCAGGCCUACGCUUGAAUACAUUAGCAUGGAAUAAUGGAAUAGGACUUUGGUGCCAUUCUGUUGGUUUAUGGAACCGAAGUAAUGAUUAAUAGGGACAGUUGGGGCCGUUUAUAUUUCGUUGUCAGAGGUGAAAUUCUUGGAUUUACGAAAGAUAAACUUCUGCGAAAGCAUUCGGCAAGGAUGUUUUCAUUGA